UAGAUGAGGAAGAUUGUUGUAAGAUAAUCAACAUUGAAGUUCACUCCAGUAAAGAUAAUGUAUAUGUAUUAGUGAAUGGAACAAAGGUUAUGGAAGAAGAGACCUAUACAAAUGCUGCACGUAGUAGAGGUAUCCAUGUCACUGUUCUUCAUCAAUCAACAGGAGCAAUGAUGGCAACGAAAGUAUUUGAUACAUCUAGGUCGAAACAAGAGAGUGCUAACUUGGUUCUUUUUUUAAAUAUGAUUUCUGAUGGACGAAUUAUGUGUUUUGCAGUAAAGGAUGAAGCUACAUUUAAAUAAACUGCUCGAAAUUUGCUUAAAAGUUUGGUAGUGUUUAUGUUGAUGAACUAAAAUGGCGGGAUAGCUGGUCAUUUAUCGUCACAAAACGUGGCCAGAACUACUCAGAGAAACAUCAUCACACAGCAGACAGAGCGAACUGGGGUGAGCCUGUCACUGCUCGUGCUA